CCCGUCCCUCCGGCCCGUCGCCCCUCGGGCCGCGUCCGCCCCGUGCGGCGCGUCCCGGCGGGCGGAGGACACAUCCCGGCGCGGCGCGCGCCAAGGAACGACCGUCGGAACAGGGCUCCGCCCCCGCCCGCGCGGCGGGGCGGCGCCUCGCUCUACUCGAAACUGUACGACUCUCGGCAACGGAUAUCUCGGCUCUCGCAUCGAUGAAGAACGUAGCGAAAUGCGAUACUUGGUGUGAAUUGCAGAAUCCCGCGAACCAUCGAGUCUUUGAACGCAAGUUGCGCCCGAGGCCAUCCGGCCGAGGGCACGCCUGCCUGGGCGUCACGCAUCGCGUCGCUCCGCGCCCCCACGGGCGCCGGACGCGGAGAUUGGCCCCCCGCGCGCGAGCGCGGCGGGCCUAAGCGCGGGCCGCCGGCGGGGGACGGGCACGGCGAGUGGUGGACGGAAGCGCGGGAUUCUCCGCGCACGCGAGCCGGACGCCGUGGCCCCCGGCCCCCAGCGGCACAGGGCCCUUCGGAACCCCACAGGGCGCGCGAGCCCUCCCCCGGGACGGGCGAGCCGCCUCGCACCGCGACCCCAGGUCAGGCGGGGCCACCCGCCGAGUUUAAGCAUAUCAAUAAGCGGAGGAGAAGAAACUUACGAGGAUUCCCC
rnacentral:rRNA from 1 species